AAGAAGAAGAAGAAGAAGAAGGAAAAUGCUGAGAGAGUUUUGGAAAUGGCAUGGACAGAGAUAGUGAUGUAAUAAUGGUCGCCAUCUUCGAGCUUGUUGGUGUUGGUUUGGAACUUUGGAUAACCCUCCUUUUCACCAACGAAAUCCAGUUCAUCAUCGUACAAAACAUAUGGAGUUAGAUAUCUCCUUUGUCAAACAAGCUUUACAGCAUCAAUUACUAGUUCAUCAUAUUCCCUCAACUCGACAAGUUACAAAUAUUUUUACCAAGCCACUUUCGAGUCCUCACUUUCAUCUUCUCAAGUCCAGACUCAAAUUUCAGGGCACCUUGAGUUUGAGGGAGGCUAUUAGAGAAUAAUUAGACUGUUAUAAUUACUGAACCACUCGCUUACUCUCUUGAAUUACCUCACACGUGUUCUUUGAGUCACUACACAAUGUAUGUAUAUCAUGCCUAUGUGUAUUAUCAAUAAUAAGAUUCAGUUCAUAUUU